rnacentral:misc_RNA from 1 species
AGAGAGAGAGAGAGAGAGAAGAGUAAAGCGUUAUUGGAUUCUAUUUAGUGGGGAUUAAAAUAAAAUUGAGAUUGAUAUUUUCAUAUGAUAUUCUCUCGGCAAUUUAACUAUUUGGUUCUUUCUGAGCUUUUGAGACGUUUCCUCCACCUUUGACCUUUGAUCUGUAGAAUUUCUUGAAACUCAUUUGCUGUGUACUUCAAUUUUUAUUUUGCUUUUCAAAUGAAAAUGGGGUUUGUAACUUACUAUUAUGUGUUGUGAUGUUUCUAUCUUUAUAGAAUUAAAUCUUGAGAGGCUAGAAAUGGAGUAGUUUCUAAAUUGAACAUGAUGUAUGUUAUUUAUGUAUUUUUAUUUUGUGACAAAUUUAUCACUUUUUUUUCUUAAAAAAUUUUCCUACAACGAUUAGUCUUAUAUUUUAAGUUU